rnacentral:rRNA from 1 species
UAGGGAAUCUUCCACAAUGGACGCAAGUCUGAUGGAGCAACGCCGCGUGAGUGAGGAAGGUCUUCGGAUCGUAAAGCUCUGUUGUUGGUGAAGAAGGAUAGAGGCAGUAACUGGUCUUUAUUUGACGGUAAUCAACCAGAAAGUCACGGCUAACUACGUGCCAGCAGCCGCGGUAAUACGUAGGUGGCAAGCGUUGUCCGGAUUUAUUGGGCGUAAAGCGAGCGCAGGCGGAAUGAUAAGUCUGAUGUGAAAGCCCACGGCUCAACCGUGGAACUGCAUCGGAAACUGUCAUUCUUGAGUGCAGAAGAGGAGAGUGGAACUCCAUGUGUAGCGGUGGAAUGCGUAGAUAUAUGGAAGAACACCAGUGGCGAAGGCGGCUCUCUGGUCUGCAACUGACGCUGAGGCUCGAAAGCAUGGGUAGCGAACAGGAUUAGAUACCCUGGUAGUCCAUGCCGUAAACGAUGAGCGCUAGGUGUUGGGGACUUUCCGGUUCUCAGUGCCGCAGCAAACGCAUUAAGCGCUCCGCCUGGGGAGUACGACCGCAAGGUUGAAAC